CUUUAAGCAGGGCUGGUGCUCAAAAUGUCAACUACAGCAAUAUACUGUCGAUGCUAUUCCUUGCCUGAUACACGUAUCUGCAGUGUAUGUUUCAUUCAUACUCGAAGCAGAAAGUCCAAAACAGACUCAUAGGCCUUGUUUACACUGCAGGUCUUGAUGCCCAAUUCUGAUUUGUUGCCUACAUCCGAUUUUUUUUUGGCUGUCCGUUUACACGUUCUUUCAUUUGUGACCCAUAUCCGAUUCAUGUGUUUACACUUGCCAUACCAUCUGAAACAUCGUGCAUGCGUUGUUGUCAUUUACCAGCCCCACAUGUGCUUCCUCCUGAGAAUACUUUGACGUAUGCUGACAAAAUGAGUCAUAAUGAGCAAUUAAAAAAAAAGACAUUCUCCAUUAAAAGACCUUCAAAAUGAUUUAUGAUUUGUUGGAAUUGGACAAAAAAAAAUUACUGAGCCACACACGUUUGAAGUCGAUAGAGUGAAGUCCUCCAUUUUUUCUUAUUAUUAAUUACUAUAUUAAUAAUCACAAUACAGCUAUUUUUUAAUUUUAUCUUUGGUAUUAUAAAUAAGGACAGAUGCAGAAAAAAAGAAAAGAAAAAAGAGCCUAGAAAGAAACAAAUAAUGCAUUACCGUUAUCAUUUUAUAUCUAAACUAAAGCAUUCAUGUACGUAAAAUAAUCAAAUGUAAAAAUAACUUAAGUGUGUUCAUUACAAAUAAAUUGAUUAUUAAAACAACAAAAGCAAGUUCAAUGAAGUGCAGCGAGUGAUUCCCUCUUUUCUUUUGUUGUUAGAUUAACAUUGAUACAUGAUACUAGACGUCAUACUGAAAUACUGUAUUUCUGUAUAUGUGUGUAUUUAUCGGGAACGCGUGCCAUCAGAAGCGCCGUUAUAUGCAUGCACUUCGGAUGACAGUCAAUACAAGAAGCGAGCAGAGAAAAGGUAAUCCUCUCAGAAAAUGGACAAAUAAAGAUAUUUUCAGAUGUGUAUUUACUACCUGGAGCAUUUUUUUCAGGGUAAUUUUUUUUUUUUUUUUUGCCUGUAGCUCAAAAUAGCCCGUGCUAAUUUACACUCAUUUUGCCAGCAUGGGUCACAUAUUAGGUCAUUAAACCACAAAGAAGUCCCAAAUUGUCGCAGUUUUAAUGACGUACAGAAUGCAAUGCCUCAGAAAAUCCGAUUUGCCUGUUUACAUGACAGUCGCAUUGGCACAUAUCUGAUUUAGAUCCGAUUUAUUUCCACAUUGGAAGUAACAAAUAAACAUUGGAAGUUUACACUGUCACAGAACAGAGCCGAUCUGUGUCACAUAUGAGCAAAAAAUCGGAAUUGGGUCACAUUUAACUGGCAGUGUAAACGAGGCCAUAGAAGUAAUAACUUAUGACGUGCAGGAAAUCCCUAAUAUGGAAAAAGCAUCCGGCUAUCACUGAAGCUGAGCUGAUUAAAAAGCAGAAACGUUUUUACUGUUGAGAUACAGUGAAGACACCACAUUAGUUUAGAAUUUUUACUGUGCCUGUAUCGAUAUUGUGGCACUUGUGCAGCAGUGGAACGUGCUUAAUUUGAAUACAAGAACACAGUUGAAAAUGGAGUAGAAAAGUGCAAAGUUUCUAAAAAAAAUUAUGAAUAGAGCAUAAUAUAUAGACAGCAACAAGGUUUAAUCUGGCCGCAGAGGGGAGCACAACCGGGGUUGCCUGAUAUAGAGAGACGUAAUCCCCGAAGCGGAGCUUCCCACUUGCGCAAUACAGAAAUGUCUGCUAAGUGUGUUACUUAUUUUUGCCAACCUGGCAAAAGUGCUAAAGUUUGUCUAAGUGCUAAAAAGAAUGUCUUUGUGCAUGCACACAGCUUUGUCUGUGACUAAACGUGUGCGCGUGAGAUACACAGUGAAGACAGCGCAUUAGUUUAGUAACUCUUCAAAUUUGUAUUUUUAUUUUUUUAAAUGUUGAAAGUGUGUUAAUUUGUGCAAUGAUAACCUACCAGCAAUGCAAAUAUGUAAAUAUAUUAAUAUGAGUACAUUACAAUAUAAAUUUUAUAGAAUGAGUACAUUAUUAUUUAUGGGCUUAAAAACAAGAUGCAAACAAUCAGAAUAUUGUACCUGGUGGUAGUUAGAAAUGGCCCUAUAGUAUGCUGUGUUUAAUAAACAGCUGUUUUAAUCAAUUCUGCUGAGGUGAAAUUCAGUGCAGUCCUGUAUCAUAUCGUGGCCUCUGAAUCGUAAUAUGUAUCGUAUCGUGACUUUACUGGUGAUACACAGCCCUAAUCGUAGAGUGAAAGUUUAUCAUUUGUGCAAAUUUUUAAGUCUUGCCAGUUUAAACAUUCAAGCCAUUUUAAAUCAUUCAAAAGAGGUGAAAGAAUUCUGUACCUGCACACUGUUUUUCAUGUGAACACAGAAUCCAGUUCUCUCUCACUUCAUGGAUGAAGUGAAGUGACUGUGUAAACAAAGAAAUCAGAUGUGUAACAGUCUAUACAUGCCUGCUGCUGAAGCGCGCGCACACAGACAGCCGGGUCUAGACAGCGUGAAUACUAAAUCGAGCUCUCUUCCGCUUUUUUGUGCAUGGAUGAAUAAAUACAGACAAAAAUAAAUCAAAAUGCGCAUUUUGACAAAUAUCCUAGUAAACACAGUCGUUAGGCAUAUGUCUUAACGUAAACAGUUGAGAAAGAAAAGGCGUGUGUAUCAGUAUAUUAAAUCCGUGCUUCGUUCUUAAAGUGAAAGCAAACUAAUAAUUAAUCUAAUGCUGUCAAAGAAAAAUACAAGUGCUCACUGCUUCUGACUAAAUAACCGUUAUAACAUCAGGAAUGAUUCAUCUAUAUUUAAUUUAUAGAGUGAAGACUGUGCAGUUAUUUUACAUGUGAUUAGCCUAUUACAUUUCUGUAGCGCACCUGGAAACGUAUUUUUGACUGAGCUGAAAAACCUGAAAAGCACUGUUUAUUGAACGUGUCUUUGUUGUAUUGUAGUUAUUUUCUGCUAUUGUUUGUCAUUUGGUUAUCUGUAGAAAAGAUUUUUAGCACUGAGCCCAUAGCAGCCAGAAUUGUUUUUCAAAUUGUUUAUUUUCUUUAUGAUUUAAAAAAAAAUGUGUAGGCCUAUUUUUUUGUUGUGAAUAUCCCAACUGAGGUACAGAAUGUAACAUUUUCAGAUAAAUGUUCUUGUUAUAUAUUUUGGUUGCAUUUGUGAGUUAAUAAAAAUGUAGAUGGAUGUUUAAAAUAGAUAUAAAAUAUAAAAAUAUCGAUAUAUCGAUCGAUACACUCCUGUAUCGAAUCGAAUCGUAAUCGUGUCGUAGAAUUUUUUGAGGUAUCGGAAAAUAUCGUAUCGCUGGGUAUGAGAAUCGAUAUCAUAUCGUAUCGUGACGAACCAUCCGAUUUACACCCCUAUUUGAUACAAGCCUCGACACAGUCUUUUGAACAAGUCUGGUUCAUAAACAGGCUUCGGCGCCUCAGUGUCAAACGUCCCAUCUCUACGUUUUUCAUAGAAAUAACUAUUUGCUUCAGUUGGACAACAGAUGUUACAAUUAUAAACUAACAAUAAUAAAAUAAUAAAAUUGAAAUUAUUUUAUAUUUAAAAAAAAAAACGAUAAUAAGAAUGUAUAAAUUAUAAUAUUUUAAUAAAAUAAUAAAUUGAAAUUAUUUUAUAUUUAAAAAAAAACGAUAAUAAGAUGUAUAAAUUAUAAUAUUUGGCAACAUUUCUACAUAUAAUACAAGUGCAUUUUUAGUUGUUUUUUUUAUUGUUGUUGUGUCUUUCAUUUAAACGAAUACUUAGUUUGUGGCUUGUUUAACCCACCAUUUUCAAGUAUUCAAAGUAAGCUCUACAGUCCCUAAACGUCAAUGAUAAAAUGUGCAGCAAUACUGCUGUUGUCACAAGUAUAUUAAUCAAUGACUAAAUUUUCUCACCGUGCAAUCCCUGUAAUAUACUGACAGCCACCGUAAAAACACAGUUAAAAUCAAAGCGAUCACAGUUCACCGUAAGUAGCUUUUCCACAUGCUGAGGUAAAUACACAAUGUAGUAAACCUUAAUUUAGCAACAUAAGUUAAAACAUGAAAUCGUAAUGUACAUAAAAAAAACUAAGAAACCGUCAUUUCAGUGAAAAGCAAUCAAAUAUAAACAAUCACAGAGAAAGCUUGUAAUUUUAGUUUUUCACCGAAAGACUGUGUGCAUUAAGGGUGUGUGUUUGUGUCUAUGUUCUGUUUCAAAUGCAUUUUGAUGCAGUGUGAAAGUAACAGAAUCUGUUGUAUUUUUUGUGCGUGAACUAGUACAGAGCACUGUUGCAUUAACCUGUAAGUGUAAUCCACACAAAUUGCACAAAGGUCUGUUGACAUUUAUUUCCUUAAAAAAAAAAAUAGUGUUAAUGCUUAGGCAGUCAUCCAGAAAUUUCAUUCAGAAAACUUGUAGAAGGCUUAAAAUCGACACCAUUGUCACUGCUGAAGUUUGUUCUCAUCAUAUACAUCUCCCAUCAUAACCAUUCCCAGGUCCCACCAGUGCUGUCAUUGUCACUCCGUCCCCUCUCAACUCUG
rnacentral:lncRNA from 1 species